UUAGCGGCGGACGGGUGAGUAACACGUGGGCAACCUGCCCUGCAGAUCGGGAUAACUCCGGGAAACCGGUGCUAAUACCGAAUAGUUUGCGGCCUCUCCUGAGGCUGCACGGAAAGACGGUUUCGGCUGUCACUGCAGGAUGGGCCCGCGGCGCAUUAGCUAGUUGGUGGGGUAAUGGCCCACCAAGGCGACGAUGCGUAGCCGACCUGAGAGGGUGAUCGGCCACACUGGGACUGAGACACGGCCCAGACUCCUACGGGAGGCAGCAGUAGGGAAUCUUCCGCAAUGGACGAAAGUCUGACGGAGCAACGCCGCGUGAGUGACGAAGGUUUUCGGAUCGUAAAACUCUGUUGUGAGGGAAGAACAAGUACCACGUAACUACUGGUACCUUGACGGUACCUCACCAGAAAGCCACGGCUAACUACGUGCCAGCAGCCGCGGUAAUACGUAGGUGGCAAGCGUUGUCCGGAAUUAUUGGGCGUAAAGCGCGCGCAGGCGGUCCCUUAAGUCUGAUGUGAAAGCCCACGGCUCAACCGUGGAGGGUCAUUGGAAACUGGGGGACUUGAGUGCAGAAGAGGAAAGUGGAAUUCCAUGUGUAGCGGUGAAAUGCGUAGAGAUGUGGAGGAACACCAGUGGCGAAGGCGACU
rnacentral:rRNA from 1 species